UGACCCGCUAUGAGCCGUGGCCAUGUCAUCCCCAUCACCGUGGGUAUGGCGGCUCCGGUCAUCCCGCCGGCUAGAGCACCCAUCCCGAUGAGAGAUAUGGGGGCGGCCACCACCAUGGAUUGCCUAGAGGUAAUCGGCGACAUCGACGCAUUGCUCCAGUUCGCGUCUAUAGUAUGGACUACAGAGCAAAGUCCUUUUUGAGAUUAUUGACGAAGGGGAAGUUUGAAGGCAAAAGCAAGAGGCAUGCCAAGUGGAGAAUAAACAAGAUACCAAGGUUGAUAAAGGGAUACUCAUCUACAUUUGGUAUCAAAAGCAUUCAAUGGAGAAGCUCUUGCAUGGGUCCAUUAAGGGAGACAGUGGCAAUGGAGAAAAGGGAACUCAUAGCAAAAGAGGGAUUAAGUGAUAAAAACAUGCAUCCAAACAAUGUUGUAAGAUUUUGUGCUCUCUGUAAUUGAUAUUAUUUAUUAUUUGUCACUUACUUUUAAUUUGUUGUCAUGAAUCAUCAAAAAUAGGGAGAUUGAAGCGAAAAUAGCCCUAUUAGGCCAUAAUUGUGAUUUUGGUGAUUAAUGAUAAUAUAGUCAUUGGGACUAA